rnacentral:rRNA from 1 species
UACGAGGGGGGCGAGCGUUGUUCGGAAUUAUUGGGCGUAAAGGGUGCGUAGGCGGUUUGGUAAGUCUGAUGUGAAAUCUAUGGGCUCAACUCAUAGUCUGCAUCGGAAACUGCCGGGCUUGAGUAUGGGAGAGGUGAGUGGAAUUCCUGGUGUAGCGGUGGAAUGCGCAGAUAUCAGGAGGAACACCAAUAGCGAAGGCAGCUCGCUGGGACGGUACUGACGCUAAGGCGCGAAAGCGUGGGGAGCGAACAGG